rnacentral:rRNA from 1 species
AUUGUACGCUGGCGGCAGGCCUAACACAUGCAAGUCGAACGGUAACAGGAAGAAGCUUGCUUCUUUGCUGACGAGUGGCGGACGGGUGAGUAAUGUCUGGGAAACUGCCUGAUGGAGGGGGAUAACUACUGGAAACGGUAGCUAAUACCGCAUAACGUCGCAAGACCAAAGAGGGGGACCUUCGGGCCUCUUGCCAUCGGAUGUGCCCAGAUGGGAUUAGCUAGUAGGUGGGGUAACGGCUCACCUAGGCGACGAUCCCUAGCUGGUCUGAGAGGAUGACCAGCCACACUGGAACUGAGACACGGUCCAGACUCCUACGGGAGGCAGCAGUGGGGAAUAUUGCACAAUGGGCGCAAGCCUGAUGCAGCCAUGCCGCGUGUAUGAAGAAGGCCUUCGGGUUGUAAAGUACUUCCAGCGGGGAGGAAGGGAGUAAAGUUAAUACCUUUGCUCAUUGACGUUACCCGCAGAAGAAGCACCGGCUAACUCCGUG